UCCCCGGUGGCCUCUAGUGGUUAGAGCGUCCGCAUCGGAUGCGGGAGGUCGUGUGUUCGAUCCCCAGUCGAGUCAUACAAA